rnacentral:rRNA from 1 species
GUCGUAACAAGGUUUCCGUAGGUGAACCUGCGGAAGGAUCAUUAACACACCGAUCUAAGAUCUCAACUCCCGAGAAGGAGCAGUGCCUGCAGUUGUGACCUCUUGGCCAGUCCAGGAGGCACGGCAGCGAGUCAGACACUGCGACCAUGUUUACAUAAUAACCCUGGCAAUGGAGACAAACUGGUACUUUCCAGUGAGUCUCUCCUGCCAAAAACACAAAAGCGAAGAGGAUGAGGCACAAUGUGCCACCGUCCGCUUCCUUCCAUACAAAACUAACAUACCUAUAACCUGAAAUGAAAGUGGGGCAUGACACGAUCGUGCCCCAUAUCAUACUAUCAACAAUGUAAAUACAACUUUCAGCGAUGGAUGUCUAGGCUCCCACAACGAUGAAGAACGCAGCGAAAUGCGAUACGUAAUGCGAAUUGCAGGACUUCGUGAAUCAUCAAAAUUUUGAACGCACAUUGCGCUUCCGGGAAAUGCCCGGUAGCAUGCCUGGUUGAGUGUUCGUGGACCCCCCUUGGCCGCCAUGCCACUUACGAGAGUAAGUUAGCAGCCGGCGAGCCAGAGUAUGGACUGGUAUGCGAUGUAGAUUGCAUGCCUGGCCAAAGUGAGCAUUUGCCGCCAGUCCUCUGGAUGGCAUUUUGCGAGUGGAUCUGCAGAAUGUCUUGUGCCUGAGGAGACAAUGGUCUGUGCAUCUGGUAACUCUGCGCCGAAUGCGUGCGUGUGUUAGUAGAGGUAGAUGUCUGUCGUCUCUGAGCAGGAUGCUCGAGCAGUUUGUCCAAUCACCGUGAAGAGGAGGGAGGCGAGUCCUCUCUCAUCUUUGUCCAUUCCAAUUUCGAAUCUCAGCUUGGUAGGGAUACCCGCUGAAUUUAAGCAUAUAAUUAAGCGGAGGAAAAGAAAAUAACCAUGAUUCCCUCAGUAAGGGCGACUGAAGCGGGAAGAGCUCAUUCUGUGAAUCUGCACCCUGUGGUGCCGAGUUGUGGAAUGGAGAAGCACGUCAGCUGCAGACCCCGGUCCAAGUCUUCUGGAAAGGAGCGCUUGAAAGGGUGACAGCCCCGUAUCUGGCUGGGUGUCUGUGGCAUUAGCAUGUGCCUUCGACGAGUCGAGUUGCUUGGGAUUGCAGCUCUAAGUGGGUGGUAAAUUCCAUCUAAAGCUAAAUAUCGGUGGGAGACCGAUAGCGUACAAGUACCGUGAGGGAAAGAUGCAAAGAACUUUGAAAAGAGAGUUAAAGAGUACCUGAAAUCGCUGAAAUGGAAGCGAAGGAAACCAGUGGCAUUCUCCAACAUUUUCUCUCGUUGCUUGCGGCGAGGGCGCUGUGUUGGAGAGUCGGCCAGCAUGGGUUUGGACCGGCGGAAGACAUCCCCCAGGAGGCAGCUAGAAUUCCUAGCAAUCACUGAGGGAUGGUGCGCUGGUCGAGACCGAGGCUAGUCACGUUUGUGCUCGUGAUGCUGGCGAAAUGGUUUUCUUUACCCCGUCUUGAAACACGGACCAAGGAGUCUAA